AAAAAUUAUAAGCACCAAAUAAUACUUUUUUUUUAAUUCAGAUCUCUCUUUCUCUUUCUUUUCUUCUCCUUUUUCCUCAUCAUUCUCUCUCCUCUCUCUCGGAUCUCUUUCUCCCACCAGACCUCUCUCCUUCACUCUUUCUCUCUCGCCUGUGUCUUUGUGGAGCUCGACCGCUACCUUCCCCUACACGCGCCGGCUAGAGAUCUUCAGAGGCCGUCGAAGCUUCGACCAACGCGGGCCCAAGCCUUCACACGACACCAGAGGCGAACGACGACACCGGAGGCCAGCUCUUCUUCUCCUCUUCCCUGUGUGCGGCCAAGCCUUCUUCUUCCCUGCGUGAGACUAGCUAGCUCCAUCUAGCCUUCUUCUUCCCUGUGUGAAGGUUCGAGAUUGGUACAUGGAUUCGUUCCGUGAUCUGAGAUCGUUUCCGGAGAUAAAAGAUGCAAAUGACGAAAAAGAUUUUACCCAAAUGAUAAAAGCAAUUAAAGUGAGACACAACAAUGUGGUUCCUAUGAUGGCUUCGGGUGUUCAACAGUUGAAGAAACAACUCUCUCCCACUCGCACUCCCAGCCAAAAUCUUCAUGAGAUUCAUCAAUUCCUAGAUCGUUUUUACAUGUCAAGAAUUGGGAUUCGAAUGCUCAUUGGUAUCUUCCUCUUCUUAUUCUAAACAUUUUGGCUCUAGAGGGUGCGUGUUUAAUAGCUGCACUUGUCCAAACUAUGGGAAUUAGAGUUUCUAUUCUCAACUUUCUCAUUGGCAAUUUACUAGAUGAUAAAGUUGUGAUAUAUCCUAUUUCAUUAUGUUUAUACUCCCAUUUUUAGGUAGAUUUUUAUAGCUGGAUAGCUUAGUUAAGUAUUAGAGGAUGUUAUUGGAUAUUAGGCGUCUCUCGUGGGUGUUAAAUAAAUAUAUUUUUCCGUACCUUAAGUUUGGAAUGAGUUGAUGGAAAAUGGUCCAGAACUCAACUUUGAUCUGCUUGGGUGAAUUUGUUAAUGUUGUAGUUUUAGUGCCAACCACAGAGUGUGCGAUGAUUUGUGCUGGUAAUUGAAAACGUGGUUGUGAUAGGCGUAGGAAUUGAUUACUAUGAUGCGAUUAUUUCUUUACAGUAAUUCAAGUUUUUUGGUGAGUAUGUCACUGGACGAGUCCCCAUUUAUUUAGGAAUUAGUAUCACCUGUUUGAUCUACAAUAAUUUAGGUUUUAUUGUGGAAUAUGUUCAGACAAGUUUGUCUAAUGUGAUUGAUAUAAAUUUGAACGUUUAGGAUUCCUUAGUGUAUUAUUGCAACACAGCCUUGGCAUUUAAUGAUUAGUUUAGUUGUCCAUUGCUUACAUUGAUACCAUUUUGGUAAUUACAUUGAUACCAUUUUGGUAAAUAUGCAGGAAGGAUGCUUUCGGUUCAAUCUUGUGAUAUUUGUGAUUGUAGAGUUAUUUUGACUGGAUUUGGGUAGUAUUCUGUGCUUUGCUUCUGUUGUGUUAUUAGUGUGAUUGUUUCUUUUUUAAAGAUCACAGGAAUGUUUUUGUUCCUCCUGGUUUUUUCUUCACCCUGUUGAGGACAUUUGUUUGUUUCCUUUUUUAUUGCAGUUCCCAUAGUAUCUUUUAUUUGAUAAUUUCUCUAGUCCAAUAACCAAUUUCAUGAACCUUAAUAUUGUUGUCUUAUUGGGUGUCCAGUGUAUUAUUAUGCAGGAUUCAAUAUUAAUUUGUUACUGGAUGUUCCUUGCCAAUUUUAUUUUCAUGUUAUCUUAUCCUGUCUUCAUUUGCAACUGAAAAGCUAGUUCGAAGAUCUAUAUGAUCAAUUCUGAAUUGAAUUCUUUCAGUUUUGGUAAGAGCUGACUGGGUUUUUGUAGUUGAUUAUUAUAAUUCAAAAUUAUUUUUCAUCAGCUAUUGUUUUGGACUAGUCCAGGUUCUUGAAUUGCUUUUUUCUCUAUAAAAUGGUAGCAUAAAUUCCUCUUUAACCCAAAUCAAUAUCAUUAAUGCUCAAUGCCUUAGGUAUACAAAUGUGUGUAUAUACAUAUAUAUAUAAGAGAAAUUUUAAUUGAAUUAAAAUAUAUCAAUAAGAAUUUUUUUGCUGUAGAUGAGAAUGCUUGAUUUUUUUUUACUUUUGGUAAUUGGAAUGAUGUGGUACAUUUUAAGAUAAUAUAUCAAUCAUAAUUUUGUUGUUGUAGAUGAGAAUGCUUGAUUUUUUUUUUUACUUUUGGUAAUUGGAAUGAUGUGGUACAUUUUAAGAUGUGGCUUGCAAAUGAUGGAAAUUAUAUAGAGCUUAGAUGGCUUACAACGUGGAAACAAAGACAACAAAUUGUUGACUUUCAAUUACCAUUUGAGAUUUUCGGGGUUGUGCAACAAAAGUGAGCACCAUUUUGUUAUGACUUCAUUCAAUUUCUUGAUGCAUAUGUCCAAACUUAAUCUAAUAUGUUGAAAAAAAUAAUUUCUUUAAGUUCUUACUUGAAAACUUGAUUAUGAGAUUGGAUUCAUAGUUGAGUUGCUCAUUUUAGUUUGAAACUUUAUGAAGCUAAGAAUAAGUUUUAUACAACAAUGCUUAUGGUUUAAGACAAUUAAAAAAAAACUGCACUCUAUAUGUUUUGUGAAAUGCCUUAGAGACAUAACACUUGGAUGAAAUAAUCUUUAUGCAUAGGAGUUUGAAAGUUAGUUGCCUAAUUGUAUAUCUUUGCAGAAAGCUCCAAUUGAUCCUUUCACUCGUGAAAGUUGCAAGCCAUCUGCAUCUCAAGGUGUUCCACUUGGAGGCAUGGGGUCUGUGGUGUACAAGCUUGUUGCUACAAAUUUUUCAACUUUAUUCUUUUUAUUUGAUCAAAUUGAUAUGCUUGUUUGUUUAUGUCUCAUACAAAAGUGGCAGCAUAUCUAGAGGUUUUAGAGGUGAAUUCAGGAAAUUUCAAAUUGUUCCUGGUUUACAAUUUUCUGUAAAAAUCUUCUCUUCAUCUAUACUCGGUUUUCUUUAUAUUUUAUUUUUUAAGAAAUAAAAAUUUCAGUAAUAUCCAGUACGAUAUUAUUGUGAGGUAGUGGGUGAAUGCUGCUUUUUAUGUAAAAGUAACGUGAGCAUUGUGGAGUUGAUGGGAUUCCACUUGAUUUAAUUAUUUUAAGUGUAAAUUUUAUAUCAGACCAAAUAUUGUUGCUGAAGUUGAACGUAGAUGUAUUUGUUACUAACAAUACUACUUUUCUUUAGAAAUAACUUAAAUAUUUACUACUAGUGUUCUAAAUGGAAGUUGUAAUAUGUAGCUGAGAUAGGUUCACAGAUUAAUGGGUGCAACAAUGGCGCCUGAAAUGAUGAUCUUAUAAGUCUUUCUUUAUUAAAGAAUAUCUUAAUUCUAUGCUUAUACUUAAAUGCUUUGAACAAUUGCAUUUGUUAUCUUUUCAUAAGUAGCACAUAAUUGUUGGCCUAUCAAAUUUAAUCUUUAUUCUGUUUUCACGAUUUACUUUAUUUAUGCUGUGCUACAGAUUUUCAUAUCAAGAGAUGGAGGACAUAAAAAUUACUCAUCCGUUUUGGCUCCAGGUCAACAUGAAGGAAUAGGGAAAGUGGGUGAUCAGGGUAUAUCUUCGUGGGACUGGAAUCUUAAUGGCUAGCAUUCCACAUAUCAUGCUCUAUUCCCAAUGGCAUGGACGAUAUAUGAUGGUGAACCGGAUCCAGAACUGUAAAUUUCUUGUUGGCAAAUAUCGCCAUUCAUACCACAUAAUUAUAAAGAUAACAGUCUUCCUACUUCUGUUUUUGUUUAUACGUUGGUGAAACACAGGAAAGGAAAGGGCAAAAGUCAGCCUUCUUUUUACAUGGGCGAUUAUAAGCGGUGGGAAGAAGAUAUUGAGAAAUGGCGAAGUCCCAUUCUUAAUGAUGGCAGGCUUCCAGAAUAGUAAAUAGUGAUUUAUGAUUAUCCUAUUAUAACUUUCUUAAAAACAAUUAGCUAGCUUGUUAGCGUAGAGCAACAUUACUAAAGAAACCUUAAAAGUGUAAUGUUGCUCUUUUACAUUUGUACGUGUUUCACAAUUCCAAGUGCACUGAGACAUUUAUGUGGUAAUGGAAACUGGAAAAUCUUGCUUGACGAGGCUGAUCCUUGUAUUCUUACCAAUAUAUAAAAAUCUGUAGGCCCCUGAUAUUUUCUACUGCAUUUUAUUAAAUUAGUUUGAAGGGCCCAUCGAUUUUAGCAUUAAGUUGCCAUUUUCAUAUCGUGUUUGAUGGGAGCACUUUUAUAAGGCAUCUGCUUACUACUUUGUUGUUUAUUUGCAUGUAGAACUAAUCAACACAUAUAUCAGCGUCCUUCCAGGAUUUACAAUUUCAGAAGUCCUCUGCUUAUACACUAGAGCAAGUUAUUUCACUGAUCUAGUGAUCCCGGGCUUGUACUAGAGUUUUGGGUCUCUGCUCUCAUCUUUCCUCCAAUGAUGUUUUUGUUCUAAAUUGUAACGCCCCAACUCCAGGGACCGCUACAGUGCACAUUGUAAACAGUGCUAAACUCGCUAAUCGAGUCGUUUGGCCAUAACGCGUAUCUAAGUGUGAUUAGCGGUUUAGGGAUUAAAAACUUUGGUUAAGAUAUAACGUUUCACUAAAACGUUUACCGUAUACAUUGGGAUCCCAAAAAUAUAAUUUCAGAGUUUAUUACAAGAAAGUGUUUACAACAGGCCGUUCUAAGCGGCAAAACAGGGUUCAACCCUAGUUCCACUUUCAAACCUCGCCCAAGUAUUGGUCGAGCAGCUGCAUAUGUACACGUCAUCACCUAAGCUCUCCAACUCAAGGAUGGUCCAGCUUCCUCUUUCCUUUACUUGCACCACAAAGCACCCGUGAGCCGAAGCCCAGCAAGAAAACUCAUAUGCUCAUAAACAGUCAUAUCAUGAUACCAAAUCAUAUCUGGCAUGCCUAGCAUUCAUAGCUCUGUUCAGCAUGCAAAUGAAUUCAAACAGAUGCUGGAGUAUCCAAGACAAGAAGUCCUGGCCUUCUGAUUGGAGGACUAUCAAGUCAAUCCUAAUCAGAUGAGUAACAUAACACUAGAGGUUCCGAUAAACCAUGCUGAGUGACCAACAAGCAAGUCACUAGGGGCCUCAGUGCCCAAGCCAUGCAUAUGAUGAUCAAAAUGAUCAUACAGAGCUCAUAGCCCUGAUCAGACGAGUGAAUAUCACUUGAGGUUCUAGUAAACCAUAUUGAGUGACUGACAACCAAGUCACUCGGGGCCCAGUGCCCAUUUCCUGGAAUGGCUCUACAUGACUAGCCAUUGGCUAGAUAAAUGCUUGUUUAUAUUCAUCGAACUUGAGGUCGGUCCUGCAUUAAUGCUCUUUGAGUCAUUCAAUGCAGAGGGUCGAUUAGAUCCAAUCGACAAAGCUUGCGCUACACACUAGGGUUGUCAUGACUAGUGAGUUAGCACAGUGUGACCAGUGCCCAGUACCUCUGCCGAACCUGACUAAUGAGUCACGGCUUCACAGCUGAUACUAACACCUUUGCCAAUUCUGACUAGUGAGUCAGCCCUGUGUGACCAGUGCCCAGUACCACUGCCGAACCUGACUAAUGAGUCACGGCUUCACAGUUGAUACUAGCACCUUUGCCAAAUCUGACUAAUUAGUCAGUACCAUGCACAGGUAAGCAAUACUAUCAAUGUGUAUCAUAUGCCAAUCAUCCAAGAGUAGGGCAUUCAGCAUGCUUACUAAACAGUUGCUAGCAUAAUUAUGAUCAUGCACAAACACAGAGACUCAAGCUCUGACCAAUCUCAUAUUCAUCAUUCAUGGCAUGCCCUAAUCACAUGUUUCUCGUGCAUCACAUGCAUCGCACUUAAUCAUCCAGCAUGCCUCAACAAUAAUCAUAUGCAGAUGGGCAAGACUGCCAAGCAUUCAUUAUGCUAUCCAUGUUUACAUUUAAACAUCCAACAUGCAUCAAUCAUAGCCGUGCAUGUCACAUAUGGGGUGCAGUCUUCUUACCUUGGGUUCGAGCGAGAAUUAAUAAAAGAAACGACUUUUGAGAACGAUCAGCUUUUAGUCCUUUAGCGGUCACCUAGUCAUAACCAAACAUAUAGGAUACCAUUAAUAAAAAUGACCAACAUAGGUUCUCAAACCAAUAUCUAGCCUCUGGGACAUCAAUCCCCACUUAACCGGGUACUAGGAUCAACCCCGAGGCCUAUGGCAAGCAUCCCUAAGUCAAAAACCCUAUUCUGGCCAAAUUUGCCUUGAUGGGCCGCGGCUCACCAUAGCCAUGCCGCGGCUCAUCCCCCUGACAGAGGCAUAAUUGCCUCAGAAACACACUUAGGCCGCGGCACGCCAAAGCCAGGCCGCGGCACAUUACCCUGAUCAGCCCAAAAACCAGCAACGCACCAGCAAACUCCCCUACAUUUUUCCCUUGGAACCAGCCCUUCAAACCAACCCAAAACACCAACCUAACACCCAAUUCAACCCCUAAACAUCAUCAACAUCUCACCCUCAUCAAAACCCAAGUUUCCAAACUCAAGAACUCCCAUUAAUUCACAACUAACACAUCAAAAUCCUCAAUUGAAAACUUAAUAGAAAAACAGGGUAUACCAUGAAACUCAUGGCUGGAACUUACCUCAAACUUGAUUUUGAAUCCCCUUCCAUGGCUGAAUCAAGUUCCUAAGCUCCCACCUUUAAUCUCCUAGCUUAACUCCUCAAUUUGGCCUCUCAAAAUUCAAAGGGAAAUGAAGGGAGAGAAGAAAAAAGGGAUGAGGAUGGCUCUGUUUCUGUUAUGUUUCCACAUCUUUCUAAACCCCAAAGCUGAUAUAAAUCCUUAAGGUCAAAAGACCAUAAUGCCCCUAGGCCAAUUUAAAGCUUCUAAACACUCCCAAGGGUAAAUUCGUCAUUUCCAACCUAUACCGUUAAUUAUAAUUAACGCUCUCCAAUUCCCGCUAUUCUCAACAUUCUCAAAUGCCAAUAAAUCACAUCCCAUUACCCUUUAAUUCCCGGUAAUGCUUUAAUCAUCAAAAUGACCCCGAGACUCACCCCGAGCCCCGAACCAAAUCUCGUUAUGACUAGACCGAAAACUUGCAUUCCCAUGAUCAUCUCAUGUCGAAUGGCUCGAACCAAUCCACAUAUAAUGUGGUAAAAUUAUAAUUCACCCAUAUGCAUAAAAUUACACAAUCACGCCCCCAACGGCCAAAUUACCAAAAUGCCCUUGCAAUUAAAAUAUGAGUCCAUAUGCAUGCAUUCACCAUCAUAUUAUAAUAUAAUUCACAUAAACAUGCAUAUAAUCAUUAAAUACCAUAAUAAAUCAAUUAUGGCCCUCCCGGCCUCCUAAUCAAGGUCCUAAACCUUAUUAGGAAAUUUGGGGCAUUACAUAAAUUGUUUUCUAUCAAAAUCAAUGUGUAAGCUUCCAUUGAUGGCUGUAGGUUCAAGUUUACAUUAUUUAAUGAGCUUUACUUCUUGGUUGCCAGUGGAACAAUUUGGAUUGAUUCUUCCUUGUCAGCUAACGUAAGAAACAAUCAGCAAUAGUUAACAAACGUUGAAGCAGCAGACUGCAGAGCAGUUAAUAAGCAUGCAUCAACUACUAGUUGUUAUAGUACUGCUGCUAAUUUUGGUUUGGAAAGCGAUAGUAAAGAAUAUUCAUGCAACGGUUAUGACGAAGAUGUUGAUUCAACAAGUCAAGUGCAAAAGAAAAUCUGAUUUGGAAGGCUUUGGUGUGCUGACAUUUGGAAGAUCAUGAAUUCCUACCUUUACUUUUGAAUAUGCAACUGUUUAAGACUAUUUUGUUGACUAUUGUGAGAAUGUUUUGUGUAUGUUAAUUAGGCAGUGUUGAAUAUCUUAUGACUUCUGUAUUAUUUUUUAUAUAAUCUUGAAUGUAUUUUGACACAAUUAUUUGGUUAUAUGUGUUAUGAACCAUAUAAUUAGUACUCAAAAAUAUAUUUGUACAAUGUUAA